rnacentral:rRNA from 1 species
GCAGUCGAGGGGUAUAGGUGGCUUGCUAUCUAGAGACCGGCGCACGGGUGCGUAACGCGUAUGCAAUCUACCUUUUACAGGGGGAUAGCCCAGAGAAAUUUGGAUUAAUACCCCAUGGUAUUACGGAAUGGCAUCAUUCUGUAAUUAAAGUCACAACGGUAAAAGAUGAGCAUGCGUCCCAUUAGCUAGUUGGUAAGGUAACGGCUUACCAAGGCGACGAUGGGUAGGGGUCCUGAGAGGGAGAUCCCCCACACUGGUACUGAGACACGGACCAGACUCCUACGGGAGGCAGCAGUGAGGAAUAUUGGUCAAUGGGCGCAAGCCUGAACCAGCCAUGCCGCGUGCAGGAUGACGGUCCUAUGGAUUGUAAACUGCUUUUGUACGGGAAGAAACAGUUCUUCGUGAAGAACCUUGACGGUACCGUAAGAAUAAGGAUCGGCUAACUCCGUGCCAGCAGCCGCGGUAAUACGGAGGAUCCAAGCGUUAUCCGGAAUCAUUGGGUUUAAAGGGUCCGUAGGCGGUCUGGUAAGUCAGUGGUGAAAGCCCAUCGCUCAACGGUGGAACGGCCAUUGAUACUGCCAGACUUGAAUUUCCAGGA